GAUGAACGCUAGCGGCAGGCUUAAUACAUGCAAGUCGAGGGGCAUCACAGGUAGCAAUACUGGGUGGCGACCGGCAAACGGGUGCGGAACACGUACAGAACCUUCCUCCAAGUGGGGGAUAGCCCAUGGAAACGUGGAUUAAUACCCCAUAGAAUAUAGAUGUGGCAUCAUGUUUAUAUUAAAGAUUUAUUGCUUGAAGAUGGCUGUGCGUAUGAUUAGGUAGUUGGCGGGGUAACGGCCCACCAAGCCUUCGAUCAUUAACUGGUGUGAGAGCACGACCAGUCACACGGGCACUGAGACACGGGCCCGACUCCUACGGGAGGCAGCAGUAAGGAAUAUUGGUCAAUGGACGCAAGUCUGAACCAGCCAUGCCGCGUGAAGGAUGAAGGUCCUCUGGAUUGUAAACUUCUUUUAUAGGGGGCGAAAAAAGGGUUUUCUAACUCACUUGACAGUACCCUAUGAAUAAGCACCGGCUAACUCCGUGCCAGCCGCCGCAGUAAAAC
rnacentral:rRNA from 1 species